UAGUAGACGUGCAUGAGUGGAAGAGGGAAGGGAGAGAAAUAUGGUAGAAACCCAAAUGAGAAAAGCAAUUAGAAUAGUCAAAUCCCAAGAGUA